rnacentral:rRNA from 1 species
GGAUCAAUGCGUCGGUCGUGCCUUCGGUACGUACUGGCGUCAUUGAUUCCUCCCUUCUGAAGAACCGUGAUGUCAUUAAUUUGGUGUUACGGGGAAUCAGGACUGUUACCUUGAAAAAAUUAGAGUGUUUAAAGCAGGCUAACGCUUGAAUACAUUAGCAUGGAAUAAUGAAAUAGGACGUUCGAACCUAUUUUGUUGGUUUCUAGGAUCGACGUA